AAGGGGCAGUAAUGUAUGGGCAACCUACCCUGGGGUUGGGCAUAGCCGUUCUAACGAGCGGGUAAUUCCCAGCGAUUUGACGAGGGGGCAUCUCUUUGUCAAGAAAGAAUUUCGCCUCGGGAGGGGCUCAUAUCGUAUUAGCUAGUUGGUGAGGUAACGGCUCACCAAGGCAAAGAUGCGUAGCGGGUGUGAGAGCACGACCCGCGCCACUGGCACUGAGACACUGGCCAGACACCUACGGGUGGCUGCAGUCGAGGAUCUUCGGCAAUGAGCGCAAGCUUGACCGAGCGAUGCCGCGUGUGCGAUGAAGGCCUUCGGGUUGUAAAGCACUGUCGAGGGGGAUCAAGGGGCAACCUUGAGUGAUCCCUGGAGGAAGGGCGGGCUAAGUUCGUGCCAGCAGCCGCGGUAAGACGAACUGCCCAAACGUUGUUCGGAAUCACUGGGCUUAAAGGGCGCGUAGGCGGCAAAUCAAGUCAGGGGUGAAAUCCGGCAGCUUAACUGUCGAAGUGCCUUUGAUACUGAUUUGCUCGAGGGAGAUAGGGGUCUGUGGAACUUCCGGUGGAGCGGUGAAAUGCGUUGA
rnacentral:rRNA from 1 species